UACGUAGGGGGCAAGCGUUAUCCGGAUUUACUGGGUGUAAAGGGAGCGUAGACGGCGGUGCAAGCCAGAUGUGAAAGCCCGGGGCUCAACCCCGGGACUGCAUUUGGAACUGUGCUGCUAGAGUGUCGGAGAGGCAGGCGGAAUUCCUAGUGUAGCGGUGAAAUGCGUAGAUAUUAGGAGGAACACCAGUGGCGAAGGCGGUCUGCUGGACAGCAACUGACGCUGAGGCGCGAAAGCGUGGGGAGCAAACAGG
rnacentral:rRNA from 1 species